UACGUAGGGGGCUAGCGUUGUCCGGAAUCAUUGGGCGUAAAAGAGCGUGUAGGCGGUCCGGUAAGUCCGCUGUGAAAGUCGGGGGCUCAACCCUCGAAUGCCGGUGGAUACUGUCGGGCUAGAGUGCGGAAGAGGCGAGUGGAAUUCCUGGGUGUAGCGGUGAAAUGCGCAGAUAUCAGGAAGAACACCCGUGGCGAAGGCGGCUCUCUGGAACGCAACUGACGCUGAAGACGCGAAAAGCGUGGGGGAGCAAACAGG
rnacentral:rRNA from 1 species